GCUCACUCGUCGUCGCCGCCGUCGCUCGCCCCUCAUCGCAGAUCGGAGAUCGGCCUCUGCUCCGGUGCUCCCUCCGGCCCUCCCUCAAGAUCGUCGACGCCGGAGGGUUUUUCUUUGUAAAUCUUUGUAGAUUGUCGUUGCUUCCUUCGCUCCGGCUCCGGCUCCGGCAGUCCGCCCCUCCCUCAAGGUUUGAAAUUUCGGUUGAAUUCCCAACAUGUUCAAGUAUAUAAUAAUAUAUGAAAGUUGAUAAUUUUGUAUCCAAUAGACUUAAAAAUUAUAUUU